UACAGAGGGUGCAAGCGUUAAUCGGAUUUACUGGGCGUAAAGCGUGUGUAGGUGGCUCGCUAAGUCGGUUGUGAAAUCCCUGGGCUCAACCUGGGAAUUGCAGUCGAUACUGAUGAGCUCGAGUUCGGUAGAGGGUGACGGAAUUCCCGGUGUAGCGGUGAAAUGCGUAGAUAUCGGGAAGAACACCAGUGGCGAAGGCGGCUGCCUGGCCUGUAACUGACGCUGAGACGCGAAAGCGUGGGGAGCGAACCGG
rnacentral:rRNA from 1 species